GGCGCGGUGGCAGAGAGGCUAUGCAGCGGAUUGCAACUCCGUGUACACCAGUUCGACUCUGGUCCGUGCCUCCA
rnacentral:tRNA from 2 species